rnacentral:rRNA from 1 species
UUCGCCCUUAGAGUUUGAUCCUGGCUCAGGACGAACGCUGGCGGCGCGCCUAACACAUGCAAGUCGAACGAGCGAGAGAGAGCUUGCUUUCUCGAGCGAGUGGCGAACGGGUGAGUAACGCGUGAGGAACCUGCCUCAAAGAGGGGGACAACAGUUGGAAACGACUGCUAAUACCGCAUAAGCCCACGGCUCGGCAUCGAGCAGAGGGAAAAGGAGCAAUCCGCUUUGAGAUGGCCUCGCGUCCGAUUAGCUAGUUGGUGAGGUAACGGCCCACCAAGGCAACGAUCGGUAGCCGGACUGAGAGGUUGAACGGCCACAUUGGGACUGAGACACGGCCCAGACUCCUACGGGAGGCAGCAGUGGGGAAUAUUGCACAAUGGGGGAAACCCUGAUGCAGCGACGCCGCGUGGAGGAAGAAGGUCUUCGGAUUGUAAACUCCUGUUGUUGGGGAAGAUAAUGACGGUACCCAACAAGGAAGUGACGGCUAACUACGUGCCAGCAGCCGCGGUAAAACGUAGGUCACAAGCGUUGUCCGGAAUUACUGGGUGUAAAGGGAGCGCAGGCGGGAAGACAAGUUGGAAGUGAAAUCUAUGGGCUCAACCCAUAAACUGCUUUCAAAACUGUUUUUCUUGAGUAGUGCAGAGGUAGGCGGAAUUCCCGGUGUAGCGGUGGAAUGCGUAGAUAUCGGGAGGAACACCAGUGGCGAAGGCGGCCUACUGGGCACCAACUGACGCUGAGGCUCGAAAGUGUGGGUAGCAAACAGGAUUAGAUACCCUGGUAGUCCACACCGUAAACGAUGAUUACUAGGUGUUGGAGGAUUGACCCCUUCAGUGCCGCAGUUAACACAAUAAGUAAUCCACCUGGGGAGUACGACCGCAAGGUUGAAACUCAAAGGAAUUGACGGGGGCCCGCACAAGCAGUGGAGUAUGUGGUUUAAUUCGACGCAACGCGAAGAACCUUACCAAGUCUUGACAUCCCUUGACAGGCAUAGAAAUAUGUUUUCUCUUCGGAGCAAGGAGUCAGGUGGUGCAUGGUUGUCGUCAGCUCGUGUCGUGAGAUGUUGGGUUAAGUCCCGCAACGAGCGCAACCCUUAUGGUCAGUUACUACGCAAGAGGACUCUGGCCAGACUGCCGUUGACAAAACGGAGGAAGGUGGGGAUGACGUCAAAUCAUCAUGCCCUUUAUGACUUGGGCUACACACGUACUACAAUGGCGUUAAACAAAGAGAAGCAAGACCGCGAGGUGGAGCAAAACUCAGAAACAACGUCCCAGUUCGGACUGCAGGCUGCAACUCGCCUGCACGAAGUCGGAAUUGCUAGUAAUCGUGGAUCAGCAUGCCACGGUGAAUACGUUCCCGGGCCUUGCACACACCGCCCGU